rnacentral:rRNA from 1 species
UACGGAGGGUGCAAGCGUUGUCCGGAUUUAUUGGGUUUAAAGGGUGCGUAGGCGGCUUAAUAAGUCCGUGGUGAAAGCCAACAGCUCAACUGUUGAACUGCCAUGGAUACUGUUAGGCUUGAGUACAGACGAGGUAGGCGGAAUGGAUCGUGUAGCGGUGAAAUGCAUAGAUACGAUCCAGAACACCGAUUGCGUAGGCAGCUUACUAGGCUGUAACUGACGCUGAGGCACGAAAGCGUGGGGAGCGAACAGG